UGGGCUCUAGCCUCAGGAGGAAGGUUUUAUCAUCAGAAUAAUUCAAGCUGGUGAUUUUCUGGCAAGGCAAAUCUAUGAGCCAAAUGAGAGGAGUGAAGAUGUAUGCUUUUGUUGCAGGGUAAAGAGAGAUGGAGAACAGGAGAUGAAAGGGGAAUGAGAAGCCGCCACUAACGACUCUUCAGUUAGAACCAUCGCCACAGACUGUCCUGAGGCUUCUGGCAUCUUCUUUCAUUUCCAGUUCUGGAACAGAAUUUGCUAAGUAAUAAGACUCUUCUGAAUGUUGGAACCUAAUGUGAAGAAAUGAAUAUUCCUUUGGAUUCUGCUUGGGUCACACCUGGCAACUCCCAGAACUUACUCUUAGCUCUGCACUGAGGGAUCACUCCUGGCGGGCCUCAGAGAACUGUAUGAGGCUCUUUCCUCAAGUUGGCUGCGUGCA